CUCGUAGGGCCGACCUGUGGCCCAAAGGCCCUCUGGCCACCCACGUGGGCCGGGCUGCCACUUCCCGGUCUGGUGGGGCUGAAAGGAUGUCAUUUCCACCAGUCUCUACUUUGCAACCCAGGGUCGUCCUUUGAUUAGUGACCAGAGCUGAGGAAACUGAGGCCGAAGGAGGGGCCCAGCUAGGCCCAGUGAAGCUUUUUUCCGGGAGGCGCCAGGUUCCCCCGUGGAGCCCGAAGAGCUGCGUGGAAAUGAGGUGCAUGCCUUUGAGUGUGGACCAGGCCAUGUAACUUCUUUUGGCGAGCAGAAUGAGGUAGAAACACGCCAUUU
rnacentral:lncRNA from 12 species